UUACCGAUUACGUUCCUUACGGUUCGUGAAAGGAGGUGAAACUAAUGAGCCUUAUACCCGAGCUUGCUCUUACUAUUAUAGCAGGAAUUAUCUUAUAUUUCGUCUGCAAAUGGCUAGGUGGUAAGAAGUAGACCGAAUGACUAGCCUAUCAACACCCGUUAAAUCGCUAAGAUACGUCAAAAAAGCCCUUAACUACUGGCAUAGUUAAGGGCUUUGGUGUUCUAAU
rnacentral:sRNA from 1 species